GGACCCGCACAAGCGGUGGAUUAUGUGGAUUAAUUCGAUGCAACGCGAAAAACCUUACCUACCCUUGACAUGUCCGGAAGCCUGCUGAGAGGCGGGUGUGCCCGAAAGGGAACCGGAACACAGGUGCUGCAUGGCUGUCGUCAGCUCGUGUCGUGAGAUGUUGGGUUAAGUCCCGCAACGAGCGCAACCCUUGUCAUUAGUUGCUACCGCAAGGAGCACUCUAAUGAGACUGCCGGUGACAAACCGGAGGAAGGUGGGGAUGACGUCAAGUCCUCAUGGCCCUUAUGGGUAGGGCUUCACACGUAAUACAAUGGCGCGUACAGAGGGUUGCCAAGGGGCGACCUGGAGCCAAUCCCUUAAAGCGCGUCGUAGUCCGGAUUGCAGUCUGCAACUCGACUGCAUGAAGUCGGAAUCGCUAGUAAUCGCGGAUCAGCAUGUCGCGGUGAAUACGUUCCCGGGUCUU
rnacentral:rRNA from 1 species